rnacentral:rRNA from 1 species
GACGAACGCUGGCGGCGUGCUUAACACAUGCAAGUCGAACGGUGAAGCGCCUUCCUUUUUGGUGGGUGUGGAUGAGUGGCGAACGGGUGAGUAACACGUGAGUAACCUGCCCCCUUCUUCUGGAUAACCGCAUGAAAGUGUGGCUAAUACGGGAUAUUCUGGGUCUGUCGCAUGAUGGGUCUGGGACAGAUUUUGUUUCGGUGGGGGAUGGGUUCGCGGCCUAUCAGCUUGUUGGUGGGGUGAUGGCCUACCAAGGCGGCGACGAGUAGCCGGCCUGAGAGGGUGGACGGUCACACUGGGACUGAGACACGGCCCAGACUCCUGCGGGAGGCAGCAGUGGAGAAUAUUGCACAAUGGGCGCAAGCCUGAUGCAGCGACGCCGCGUGAGGGAUGGAGGCCUUCGGGUUGUGAACCUCUUUCGCCAGUGAAGCAGGCCUGCCUCGUUUGUGGGUGGGUUGACGGUAGCUGGAUAAGAAGCGCCGGCUAACUACGUG